UACGAAGGGGGGCUAGCGUUGUUCGGAAUUACUGGGCGUAAAGCGCGCGCAGGCGGUCUUCCAAGUCAGUGGUGAAAGCCCGGAGCUCAACUCCGGAACUGCCAUUGAAACUGUAAGACUUGAGGAUGAGAGAGGUGAGUGGAAUUCCCAGUGUAGAGGUGAAAUUCGUAGAUAUUGGGAAGAACACCGGUGGCGAAGGCGGCUCACUGGCUCAUAUCUGACGCUCAGGCGCGACAGCGUGGGGAUCAAACAGG
rnacentral:rRNA from 1 species